rnacentral:lncRNA from 1 species
GAAGCUUCGGCCUAGUAAACUCUUGGUCGCUGUGGUAUGGAUGUGACUGUUGCAGUUCCUCCUGCGGCAUCUAAUAAUAGGAUGCUUGUGAAUGGAGACUAGUUCUUGCUGAGUCCUGUUCACCUUGAAACCAGAAAUACUUGAUAGGAGUUCUUUUUUUCCUGCCACACUUGAAUCUGGCUGCUGGAACUUGAUCAUCACUCACUCUAGUGACACAUAGCAGUCAUCUAAUCAGAUCAAAGGAUUCGAUGUCCAUCAUAAAUGUAACCCAUCCUCUCAGAAAAUGGGAGUCAAACAGUCCAGAAACCUCAGGAUUUGGGAAUAAAAUGUCCCCAAAGGCUCCUGUUUGGAAAGCUUGGUUCCCCAGCUCAUGGAACUCACUAUUUCACUAUUGAGAGACUACUGGAUCUGACUUCACACUACUGACACCCGCUGAUGCCACAGGGCUAUCAGGAGGGAGGACAUAUUAGUAGUCAUCAGGUCAUGAAGGUAUCCACACACUGGCUGUAGAGGAGAAAGUAGGGAAAAGCCUCGAAGAUAUGGAUACAGGGGAAAAAUUCCUGAAUAGAAAGAAUCGAUAAAUGGGACCUCAUAAAAUUGCAAAGCUUCUGCAAGGCAAAAGGCACCGUCAAUAAGACAAAAGGACCACCAACAGAUUGGGAAAGGAUCUUUACCUAUUCCAAAUCGGAUAGCGGACUAAUAUCCAAUAUAUUUAAAGAACUCAAGAAGGUGGACUCCAUAAAAUCAAAUAGCCCAAUUAAAAAUGGGGCUCAGAACUGAACAAAGAAUUCUCACCUGAGGAAUACCGAAUG